GUGGGGAAUAUUGGACAAUGGGCGAAAGCCUGAUCUAGCCAUGCCGCGUGUGUGAAGAAGGUCUUCGGAUUGUAAAGCACUUUAAGUUGGGAGGAAGGGCAGUAAGUUAAUACCUUGCUGUUUUGACGUUACCAACAGAAUAAGCACCGGCUAACUUCGUGCCAGCAGCCGCGGUAAUACGAAGGGUGCAAGCGUUAAUCGGAAUUACUGGGCGUAAAGCGCGCGUAGGUGGUUUUGUAAGUUGGAGGUGAAAUCCCCGGGCUCAACCUGGGAACUGCCUCUAAAACUGCAUGACUAGAGUACGGUAGAGGGUAGUGGAAUUUCCUGUGUAGCGGUGAAAUGCGUAGAUAUAGGAAGGAACACCAGUGGCGAAGGCGACUACCUGGACUGAUACUGACACUGAGGUGCGAAAGCGUGGGGAGCAAACAGGAUUAGAAACCCGUGUAGUCC
rnacentral:rRNA from 1 species